rnacentral:tRNA from 1 species
GGAGAUGAGGCUCAGUGGUAGAGCUCUUGCCUAGCAUGCAUGAGGCUUUGGGUUCCAUUCCAGCCCUCCA